UACGGGGGGAGCAAGCGUUGUUCGGAUUUACUGGGCGUAAAGGGCGCGUAGGCGGCGCGACAAGUCACUUGUGAAAUCUCUGGGCUCAACCCAGAACGGUCAAGUGAUACUGUCGUGCUAGAGUGCGGAAGGGGCAACUGGAAUUCUUGGUGUAGCGGUGAAAUGCGUAGAUAUCAAGAGGAACACCUGCGGCGAAGGCGGGUUGCUGGGCCGACACUGACGCUGAGGCGCGAAAGCGUGGGGAGCAAACAGG
rnacentral:rRNA from 1 species